rnacentral:rRNA from 1 species
AGGACUAACGCUGGCGGCGUGCCUAACGACAUGCAAGUCGAGCGGGGUAGCAAUACCCAGCGGCAGACGGGUGAGUAACGCGUGGUCAACCUUCCGUUGAAUGGGGGAUAACUAGCCGAAAGGUUAGCUAAUACCGCAUACGAUCUUUUGAAGGCAUCUUUAAAAGAUGAAAGGAGCAAUUCGUUCAACGACGGGACCGCGUCCCAUUAGCUAGAUGGUGGGGUAAUGGCCUACCAUGGCAACGAUGGGUAGCUGGUUUGAGAGAGCGACCAGCCACACUGGGACUGAGAAACGGCCCAGACUCCUACGGGAGGCAGCAGUGAGGAAUUUUCCGCAAUGGGCGAAAGCCUGACGGAGCGACGCCGCGUGUGGGAAGAAGGCCUUCGGGUCGUAAACCACUGUCGAAGGGGACGAUAAUGACGGUACCCUUGGAGGAAGCCCGGCUAACUACGCGCCAGCAGCCGC